rnacentral:misc_RNA from 1 species
GAUGAAGAACGUAGCGAAAUGCGAUAAGUAAUGUGAAUUGCAGAAUUCAGUGAAUCAUCGAAUCUUUGAACGCACCUUGCGCCCUUUGGACUUCUGAAGGGCAUGCCUGUUUGAGUAUCAUGAACACCUCAACUCCUUAUGGUCUUCCAUGAUGAGCUUGGACUUUGGGGGUUUUGCUGGCCUACAGUCAGCUCCUCUAAAAUAAAUCAGCUUACCGGUGUUUGGUGGGUAUCAUGGGUGUGAUAACUAUCUACGCUCGUGGUUUUCCACCAGGUAACCUUCAGCAGUGGAGGUUCACUGGAGCUCAUAGAUGUCUCUCCUCAGAGAGGACAGCCCUUUGAAUGUUUGAUCUCAAAUCAGGUAGGACUACCCGCUGAACUUAAGCAUAUCAAUAAGCGGAGGA